AUUAUAAUAAAUUAUACUUAUUUAAAUAGUAAGAAUUAAAAGUAAAGUUUUUAAAUAUAUUUGUAAAAAUGUAUAUAUAUAUUAAUAAUAUUGAUUAGAAUUAAUAUAUUAUUUUAAUAUUUAAACAUUAU
rnacentral:misc_RNA from 1 species